CUGGAUACCAAUCGAAAGAAAGGCUCUGUGGAGAGGAGAAUUUUGUCAGGGAGGGUAUCAGACGCCGAAGUGACAAGCUUGAGGCCAAGAGGAACAUCUGCUGGCUCGAGUCCUCAAAGACAGCACGCCUUCUUGGUCCCCAGAAUUCUCAGAGUGCAUGAUCUUGAAGAUCUGACUCUCUGGGCAGCUUUGGAAGAACUGACUCAUGGGAAAUAACCCUGAAUUCCUGGGAGAUGAAGGUGAGAAGGCCCAGCAUACAAAGUAAACAGAUGGACGUCACACCGUCACAGGCAGAGGGAGCCUGGCCGCAGCCGCGGUCACUCGGCAGCCGCUUUGAGCCACAGAGCACACUCAGUGAGGCCUGGAGCCUGAAGACAAACAGGCUUCUUGGCUGCUGGAGGUCCAUGACUCACAGCUCCGCUCCAGCCCACCCAAUUCCUUGGCCUCUGGUGGCUCAGGCCGAGCCCUCGGCCCACUGCCCGGCACAGCUGGGCAGCAUUAAGGACUUGGCACCCUCGGAGCUGGCCUCAGCUCCUCCAGGCCCUUCUGUUGUCAGGGGCUGACGGAGUCAGGACAGCCAGCGAGGGAGGAAUGUGUCUGCUCCGGGCCGGGCUGACACCGGGCUGCAGGGCAGGGUCAGCGGGGGUGAGAGCAGCUGCGGAUGACAGGCCUGGGCUGCCGGCUCCAUGUCCUGGGUCCUGGGUCACUCAGCGCUCCCAGGUAUGAAAGGGUUUUUGGGGACCCUCUGCUCAGGUCCCUGAGCAGUGGGAAGCAUCCAGAGGGGCCCCGUAGAUCUGAGCUCUGCAGCACAGCGUAGCCACCCUCACGCCUCAGCGUCCUUCUGUGCCCAGUUCUUCCUGCAGGCUCCUCCCCUGCUGCUGCAGUCACACAGACCACAGUUUGAGGACAUCCACCCAUCUCCACAACCCUCCUAGGGCCCAUGUCACUGAGCUCUGCUCCCAAGUUCAGGCCAGACUAGAACUCUGGAACAUUCUAGAUUCUAGGACUCUGCCCAUUCUGGGCCUGCACAGAGAUCACUGGCUCAUCCCACCAGGCACUCCUCUCUGUACCUGUGCUUGUGCUGACCUCGCCACUGUCCCCACCUCCCCAUCUCCACCGUGUCCUCCACAUUUUCUUCUUCUUGAGGCAAAUCUGACAGGAACCAUCUGCACAGAGACCUGGCCAGGCCCCUGGAGAAGCCCGGAGCGCUGGGAACUCACAUCAAGCCCUGCCAAGAACCUCAGGCCACCGAAGAACACUGGACAUGGCCUCCUGCUCCAAUGUACAUGUGCCUGUCCCAGUGGGCCAUGAGCGGUCUAAGGAAGUCCCUGAGAUGUUUCUCUUGAGGACAUCUGAUUCCCGCAUGGGCUGGCCAGGGGCGGGCACUGAGGUUCUCCAGCUUCACUCCUUCAGGUUUCUCAAAGAUAGGGCACAGCCUGGGUUCCUGGAAAUAGACACAGGUCUGAGUCUCAGCAGCACAGCCCCAGGCACCUCAUCUGUCAAGGCCGAGGCAGGCUGGUCUUUCUCCUUCAAAGAUGCCCUGCCCCUGGGGCCCUGGCCUGGCCUGCUAGCUCAGUUGCCUCUGCAGCCCUCUCCUCCUCUCCAGUGUCUUCCUGCAGUCCUGGGUCCGUUAGCGUUGCUGGAUGCUGAUGGCCCUGGGAGACUCCAGGCGGAAACACUGGAAAAGUCUCCUCUUCUGUCCUCACAGAAGACAAGAAUGAUUUUCUGAUUAGAUGUAAGGCAGCGGGAAGAGCAGAGGGGGUGGGCUCAGAGCUGGGAUGAUGCCCCAAUCUGGCUGUAGCUUCCAUAACUCAGUUAUGGUACCCCCCCGCCAUGAGUCAGGCCCCAUGGUGCCCCUCAGGCCUCCAUCUCCCUGAUCAGUGAGUCAGAAUCUUGGGUUGCAUGAUUUCACAGACACUGCCAGUUGCAGCCUUUUGGAAGACAAUGUGUUGCAUACCUUCUGGACUUAGCCCUUUGGGUAGCUCAGACCAGAGAGGGGUCCCAUCAGAUUUGGAGUGUGGAUCAUCCAGAGGAGAUGACCCUUGGAUGCUGGCUCAGCAACCACUCAGAGGCUCUGUGUCCUGGACCUGGAGGGCAGAGACAGGCCCCCCACCUUCUGAGCCCCAGCCUGCAGUGGUCUUGGACCCACUGGCCUCCCUGGCAGCUGAGUCUUGGCCUGCUGGCUUGGCUGGUUACAGGGAGACCUCAGGUGAGGGGCUCCUCUGAAGCCCACUCAGGAUGGGGCAUCCUCCUGGGGGGGGCUCUCUGCCUCUUGCAGAAUAAAGCCUUUGCUAGGCUUGGGGUCUCAUAGUAGUGGCUCUCAUGCCAGGUCAUCAAAAGGCUGUGAGGCCAGACCCCUGAGAAGUCUAUGAUGGAGAGGAGGGUUGGUAUCCCAGACAUGUCAGGCUCUGCCUUAAUCCAGGCUGUGUAGUCUUGGAGAACCAAGGUCUCUGUGUCUCUGUGGUCAGAAUGAUAGGAAAGAAACAUCCUUGCCAUCCUAUCCCAUGGCACUAGGCUCAGAGGAGAUGACAUCUGAAGAGCUAAGGGCGUGGCUCAGUGUGACCAAUCCCACUGCUUGUGAGAUGCACAUGAAGGCUGGUAGUGCAGGCUGCAAGAAGCACUUUAACAGCGGAGAGGAAUUUAGAACAGGUUUGCUGCCGAGAGGACAGCGGGUGGAUUUCCAAGUGCGAUCUGGGUCAGAGAUUGGGCUUUGCAUGAGGGUUGGAGGAUGCUGGGAAAAGGGUCCAAGCAGUAAAUGUGAUUAUCUAAAGAAUGUCUUCUUUGGGGUCACUCAGCACCUUGUAGAUUUCCUGGGAGCACCUGCAUCGCGUUUAAAAUUAUGCUCACAGCUACAGUUUAAUAGAAACCAUUCUCCUCUGGCUUGCAGAGGAUUUUAGCUUUAGAUAAGGAGCUCAGGAGGUCUGUGCAGGUCUUGUGGAGAAGUCAGACUGGGGCUCAUUUGGAGACACGAGGCCUUGACCAAAAGGUUUCUUGCUGUCUUAUGACCUCGUACCAAGAUCAAGAAAUAUGAAACUCUCUCAGUGGAGCCCUUCGUUGUGGGGUGGGAGGGCUUUAACUGGUCACCGAGUCUCACCAUUAAGGGUGUUAGUCCCGUGACCAGAGAGUGACCACUAUACUCAGUACGAGGAAAGGAGACGUGGUAGAAGCAGGGCCGUGCCCCAGGGGAGAGCCCUGUAGUGGACAUCAGAUCUGACCUCCAGCUUGUCACUUCCUGAGCAAGAUGUCGCCAAACUGCUGGCCGCCAAACACGGAUUCCCUGCUUACUAACCAAGAACAAUAUAGGGGUCCCCCACCUCUGUCAGUUAGGUUGGCUUUCCCAUAAGCAGACGCCAGUAUCUAGCUAUGAUUGAAGAAAUUGAUUGUGUGAUGCUGUAGGAAGGGAGGGGAGGGAGCUGAGAAUGGAGGGUGGAGGAAGCAGGGCCGGGGAAGGGGAGCAGGACCUCGGAGCCCUGGCAGGUGUGGGGGACAAAAGCCUCCUCCGGAGUAGUGUAGGAACCUGAGCUGUUCACCCACCAGUCAGGCUCCUCCUUAGCAAAGCUUCUGGCAAAGCGGGACUGUAUCAACUCUGUUGGCCGGGAAGCCGCCCAGGACCCUGGUGCAGCACACUUCUGGUUGUGCCUGAGUGGGUCUCGGAGGCAUGUCCUUGGGGCCCAUACGGGGUCCCAGGUCCCUUCCUCUCUGGCUCUGUUCCCCUGCUCUGCGUCCUAUUGCUGUGAACUAAGCAGCCAUUCCGCCACGAUGUUCCUGCCUCAGAGUCAUCUGACCAUGGACUGAAUCUCCUUAAAACCCCAGCUGAAUUAAACCUCUCUUCCUUUCAA